GGAAGAAGGCCCUUGCAGCAUGGCCGCCGGCACUGCAGCUGCCUUAGCGUUUUUGAGUCAGGAGAGCCGAACGCGGGCCGGGGGUGUCGGGGGCCCGCGAGUCCCGGCCCCGGUCACUAUAGACAGUUUUUUCUUCGGCUGUGAGCUCUCCGGCCACACCCGCUCCUUCACCUUUAAGGUAGAGGAAGAGGAUGAUGCAGAGCACGUGCUGGCAUUGACCAUGCUCUGCCUCACCGAGGGAGCCAAAGAUGAGUGUAAUGUGGUAGAAGUUGUGGCCUGGAACCAUGACCAUCAGGAGAUCACAGUCCCUGUGGCCAACCUCAAGCUGUCCUGCCAACCCGUGCUCAGCCUGGAUGAUUUCCAGCUCCAACCACCUGUAACUUUCCUCCUGAAGUCGGGUUCCGGCCCUGUGCGGAUCACUGGGCGGCACCAGAUUGUUACGAUGAGCAAUGAUAUUUCUGAGGAGGAGAUCGAGGAAGAGGAAGAGGACAGUGAGGAGGAGGAAGCUGAGCUGUGCCCCAUCCUUCCUGCCAAAAAGCAGAGGGGCAGGCCCUAGCCCUCCUUGGACCUUGGUUUUCUGGUCUUGCACCAUGCCUGGGGCCUCUCUUCCUACCUGCCUGUGGGGAUUGGAGGUUGGUGCCUGAAGCUCAGAACUACACAUUUUUAACACUUUUUACAUUUUUGGAUAAAGGUUGAAAUAAAGUGGUGUGGGAUUUUUGCAAAAAAAAAAAAAAAAAAAAAA